GGAGAGGGUGGGGUGGGAAUUAGACAUGGGGAUGGGCAUGGGCAUGGGGCAGGACGCAGAGGUGGCCAUGGGGAGGAGGUGGGGAUGGAUGUGGGGCACGACGUGGGGCUGGACGUGGGGAUGGAUGGGACGUGGACAUGGGGAGGACGUGGGGUAGGACAUGGGGUGGGACACGGGGAUGAACACGGGGCAGAACGAGGGGCAGGACACGGAGGUGGACACGAGACAGGACAUGGGGUAGGACAUGGACACGGGCACGGGGAGGACACGGGACAGGAUGGGGUGGGACGCGAGGCCAGACAGAUGGACACGGGGUAGGACACGGGGUGGGACGUGGAACGGGACACGGGACAGGAAGCAGAGAUUGGCAUGGGAUGGUGCACGGACGUGGGCAUGGGACAGGACGUGGGGUAGGACGUGGAGAUGGACACGGGGAGGAUGCGGUGUGGGACAUGGGGAUGGACAUGGGACAGAACAAGGGACAGGACGGGUAGGACAGAGAUGGACAUGGGGUAGGACACGGGUAGGCCACGGGAUAGGAUGGGGUAGGACAUGAGACAAGACAGAUGGACGUGGGGAGGACGUGGACGUGGACAUGGGACGUGGGUAGGACAUGGAGAUGGACGUGGGGAAGGACACGGGAGGACACGGAGCAGGACAUGGGAGAGGACAAAGGGUGGGAUGCAGGGCAUGGGACGGGACGUGGAGGUGGCCAAGGGUGGGGACACAGGGUGGGGGGGUUGGGGUGGGUGCUGGGGGGGCCACUGUGCUGGGGCUGAGCCCCACAGCCCUGCACGGGCAGCGCUAUGGGGAGGGCAGGGACACCCCCCCCCCCGGCACGCGGACCCCCGCCGGGAGCAAUUUGACUUUUAAAUCCUCUUUAGUGAAAGUGUUUGUCUUGAAAAUGGCCCCAAAUCCCCCCAGAUCCCCGCGGCGCCUCUGAAAAGGGAGAAGCCCCGAGCUGGGGGUGUGCCAUUGAGAGGGGCACCGCGGGGGGGUAAUGGGCACCGCUGGAAUUCUGUGGGGAUGAGG
rnacentral:lncRNA from 1 species